rnacentral:tRNA from 1 species
UUAAUUGAAGCCAAAAUUAGAGGCAUAUCACUGUUAAUGAUUACAUUGGUUUAUAUUAACCCAAUUAAA